rnacentral:lncRNA from 1 species
UAAUAUUGAAAAUAGAAUAAAUGUAAAUAAUGAGAAUUAAAAUCAGUAAACCUAUCACCAUUCACUUCCUUUCUUCUUUCACGCUCAAUCAUCCUUCUCUCUCUCACUUUCGAUCUCUUACCAUCUCGCCACUCUCGAUCGCUCUAUCUCACACCUCUCUCGCUCAUGUCAUCUCUCAAUCUCAACCUUAUUCACAAACUUUCACUCUACAUGCCAAAAAAACAAAAUGCUUUAAAGAGAUUCAAGCAGUAAAACUCACCUUCGGCGGUGGUCCGACGGUAAUGACGAUGCUUGGAUCUUCCUCCCGUCGCCGCUCAACUCUUCUAGCUUUAGGGUUUUCGCUCUCUGAAAACUUUAGGGUUUUUUUUGUGGCUGAUUGAAGUUAGGUUUUUCGUCGCCGCUCCUAAAAAACCCUCCUUUUUUCCUACAGCAUCCGCCUCUUUUUAUACCCAAUCAGUUAGGGUUUUCGAGCUAGCUAUGGAGAUUAAAAAGGGAAACCUCUUGGAAGUGCUUUUAGGUGCUCAGCUUUGCCUGUCUCGCUUGAUACUUAAAUCUGGAAACGGUAAUAUGAACUUAGCUUUCUUCCUCUAACUUUGUCUCAAUUCUCUUUUGGGUUAUUUUUUGAACUUUACAGCCUUUGCUAAUUACUUGGUUUUACUGUAGUAAAAAUUGGUGAAAAGAAACACUUCGGUUAUUUGCAAAGCUCAACUAUUGCUACUACCAUGAACUUCUAGGUGUGAAGAAGUGCUAGCUAUCAAGGAUGAAAAUCAGUUCCGUUAUAAGCUAAUGUUAAUGUUAAGUCUCAUUACAUUGUCUUACUUAACUGUUAGUGCAGAAUUUCUUAUUAAUUGGAAAUUUUGUUCAACUAUGAGGAAUUAUUCUUACUGUUAUGCUUAUUAAUCUCUGCAGGUUAGUAGGUGUUGCCGGUUGAAUGUGUUGUUGCUAAUGUGUUUGNNN